AUAUAUAUAUAUAUAAUAAAAUUAGAGAACAAUCAAUAAAUAUUUUAUUCAAAAUUUGAAUGUCAGAUAUAGGUAUACCACAGUUCUAACAUGUUUGAAAAAAUAUCCAAGGCAUUUCAACCAAAACAAAAUUGUGAGGCCCUUGCUUUGAAUGACUACACUUCUUUUGUAAUAUUUACUUUGCUAGUUUCAGCUUUUGGUUUGUUUGAACAGAUUUCAGGCAAGAGAGGUGGACCCAAGCUGGGUUAGUCAACAUUGUUUUGGUGCUCCGCUUUACCUCCACAGAUUACCUUCCUUACCUUACCUUAGACUUCACAAUAACUCGAGCAGAGGUCACAAUCAAGCCCUUUAACUUUCAUUCCGGGAAGAGUAAAUAUCUACAAUCAUCCUGUGAAAUUGUGCAUCACAAAUCUGCUAAACAACAGACAGGCAGCUCUUUUUAAAUCAGUCUGUCGAUGACAUAACCCCCUUUAUCAAAAGGCUGGGAAUUUGCCUGAGACAAUCCGAUUUGGAGUUUAAAAUUCAAGACAAACCCUACCCAUAGUCCUCAAAGAGCUUACAAUUUUUUUUUUUUUUAUGCUGCACUAAAUUGAUGAGCAGUUUCAUGAAGGAAGUCGAGCUUUAAAUGGAGAUUAUAAAAUCUAAAAAACAAUCCAUCUGACAGAGUGUACCUCUUGCAGAUGUGCCCAUGUGUAUUUGUCAGAAAGAUGAGUUCACAUUUUCACAUGACAGACAGCCGAGCACAGCGCCACUCCGGCUCUGAGCUCUUAUGUAAGAGGACAGCAUUGGCCCAGCAGCACAGAAUAUACAAGAACAUUCCAGUGAUGUAACCCAUCUGGCCCUUUGUCUACAACUGUGUCAGAGUGUAAUUGUGCAUCUGUGUGUUGAAAAUCAGUGCAAAACACCUCAACAGCUGGAUCCACUCAGCGCACGGCUCAAAAUGAGAUCAUAACUGUUCUGACAACCAUUAAAUUGAAGAUUUAGUAAGAGGCUCAUCAAUCCGAAACAGUCAUUACCACUGACACGCCAAUCAAAGCAAGAUCAGCAUGCAAUUUAAAAGUUGUAUCUGUUCUACAAAAGAGCUGCCUGUACGAAGCUGGAUAUUAAAUAUUGUGAUGGCAAAACUGACUUUUCAGCAGCCAUAACUCCAGUCUUGAAUGAUCCUGAAGAAAUCAUUAAAAUAUACCAACAUUGGGCUAUUCUUCAGGAUUCUUUGAUGGAUAGAAAGUUCAAAAGAACAGCAUUUAUUUGAUAUAAAAAGAAAGAGUAAUUAAUACAAAUAAUAAUAAAAAAAUCUUACUGACCCAAUCUUUAGAACAGCAGUUUCCAUGUAAUAUUACUUUACUUACUGCAUAAAAAAUAUAAUCUUAAUCAUUUGCUGUACUUACAGACUGCACUUAUUUAGACUUCUGGGGAAGGAGUAGGACAGGAUUGAGAGAGUGUCUUGGCUAUGCUAUCUUCAAAUGUAAGCAAAAGCAUCUGCUUGAACUUAUACAGUUUAAAGGUUCUGGUUCAUUGUUGUCAAUAACUCAAUACAUCUUUUUUUCUUAUGACGCUCUCGAGAGAGUCGUCAGACUCAGAAAACCCACCAUGAUCAAUGAGCCAAGCCAUGCACAUGGAAUUCAACUUCUCAUCGAAGAACUCCACUCCAUAGAAACAAGAGUUUACGGGAAUAAUUCACCCCUUUCUCAUUCUCAUUUUUCCAAAUCAGUCCAACCUUUAUGGAGCGUAGCAGGACAGCUCACCCAAAAAUGGAAAUUCUAUCAACAUUUACUCAGCCCUCAAGUUAUUCUAAACCUAUACAAGCAGUUGAUCUUGAGUGGAGCACAGACUAACCAGACGGCCAGAUGAUCAGAUGCAGACCAGAACACUAAAUGAAAAUAAAACAUUCAGAUUUAAAAUGAUAUAUAGACAUGCACUAUUAACAAAAGGAAUAACAUUAAAAAGUUUCAACACUGAUGAAACUUCCAUAAAAUGUCCAGCAUAUUAACUGUCAUGUUCAUUGUUUUUAUACUUUUAAAGCCCCAAAACUAUUUUACUGAAAGCAAAAGGUCUCCAUCUUUACAUUUCCCUGAAAUGGCUCCAGAAGGACGCCACACUCAUGUGAUAUUGUUACAGCGCACGCAUACAUGCUGCCAAAUAUUUGAUGACUUGCUUGAGCAAGUGCACUUUGGUGAUGACUGACUAAAAUCCAAACAACAAAGUUUGUUAGUCAAACAGAGCUGGACGGAUAAGCAGCCAAUGGAAAUACACUCCAGGACAGGAUUCACAGAAUCAAACUCUUGACAUUUUCUGAUCUUGUGUUUGACAAUUGAGAGGAGUCCAAUAAAACAGAAGGGAACACAAACACUGGAGGAAAGAGUUUGGAUGGACUUUGGUUUUGGCAUGGUCUUGCUGAAAUCUGAGGCCAAAGUUCAACGUCAUUUAAAAACUCUCUAAGAGUUUAUUACUACAAUCUAAAAGCUAAUACGUUUCAGAGAAUAGUCGUGAACAGGAGCCCAAUCAAAGGAACAUCCAUCAAGGACUUCAAUCAAGGAUAAUUUAGCAAACAGCCAUUAAGCCCAACACAAGGUGACCUAUCAGACCUGGAAAAUGAACAGCUGUGUCUCUGCUCUUGUACAGUCAGAAGGAUCUUUGACCACAAGAGAGCGAGAGACUGGGCCGAGCUCCAGGUGGGUUACCUCGUCCUUCAGCUGGACAAGGAAAAAAGGCAGCAAAUGUUCUACGCUGCCCAAGAUGGUAGACAGACCCAUGAUGACAGAAGCCAGGACAGACUUCACAUGCUGGUUUGUGUCAGCUCCUGUUAAGGGAAGUGAAGGAGGCUUGAGGCCUUUGAAAUCAAACAAUUCUUCUACAAGUAGCUGUAAUCAGAGACAAGGUGAUUGUAGGACAGAGGAGGAAAACUAAUUAAUAUACUACAACAACAACCGAAAACAUAUAUAUACUGUAUAAAUAAAAGCUUAUUGUUACAGUCGUUACUAUUAUUAUUCUUCAUUGUGAUUCAUAGCAGCAAUUAAAACAACAGUUACAGGACAAUA